AUGAAGGUAAAGGUUUUAAAGGUGUACCCAUGGAAACAUUGGUCAUCAAUGUUGACAUGUGUUCUAGGAGGUCUCCAAACAUGUAUCAUAGGAAUAAUUAUGAGAAGGGACAAACUUGCUUGGCAAGUGGGAUGGAACAUUCAACUAUUAACAAUUGUCUACUCGGCUGCACUUGGCACAGCAGCCAAGUAUUGGUUAAAUCUCUAUGCUGUGGAAAAGCGAGGCCCCGUUUUUCCACCAAUGUUCAACAACUUAUCAGUUGUCUUCACCAUGGUUCUUGGAACAUUAUUACUAGGAGAAAGCCUCACGGUUGGGAGCUUGCUGGGUAGUACAGUGGUUUUUAGUGGUUUAUAUAUGUAUCUCUAUGGAAAGGCCAAAGAACUACACAUGAAGACGACAUCAGGUUCAAGCAAUGAAAAGCUUCAUGUGCAACCUACACAACUCAAAGUGUGA
rnacentral:rRNA from 1 species